rfam:Schistosoma mansoni, Puerto Rico, WGS project CABG01000000 data, contig: 0169
GCACAGCUGAGGAGUCUCACGAUAGGACGAAACGGCCGUCCAGUGC